rnacentral:rRNA from 1 species
GCGUGUGUGAAGAAGGCCUGCGGGUUGUAAAGCACUUUCAGCAGGGAAGAAAAGCGCGGGGCUAAUAUCCCCGUGUCUUGACGUUACCUGCAGAAGAAGCACCGGCUAACUCCGUGCCAGCAGCCGCGGUAAUACGGAGGGUGCGAGCGUUAAUCGGAAUUACUGGGCGUAAAGCGCGCGUAGGCGGCUUGGUCAGUCGGAUGUGAAAGCCCCGGGCUCAACCUGGGAAUUGCAUUCGAUACUGCCGGGCUAGAGUAUGGGAGAGGGAAGUGGAAUUUCCGGUGUAGCGGUGAAAUGCGU